AUUUCCGGUUUUAUGUAAUGCAUUUAGCUCGUUCCAUUCUCAAUUCUCAUCCAUUUCGUUCGAAGCUGGCGACUAAGCAAGAUGAUCUUCAUUGCAAUCGCUUAUAUAUGCUGAACGUUUACUUCGCACCUUUAUAAUAAUGGCGAUAAAAUAAUGCUUCAGCUUGAGUGGCUAGCACGCCAAUACUGGGAAAAUGUUUACUGCAAAAUUUGUUCUUAACCACACGUUAAAAUAGUAGCGAAUAUCUUCGAUAAUUCAUUUCUGCACGAAUAUGUUAGCGAACGGUGGAACUUUUACAGACUACGACAGCAGGAAAACCAUUAGUAAAUGACUAGAAAAUUGGGGUUCAAUGAUUGAAUAAAUUUUGUUUUAUACUACAACGUUUUUUGAAUUACAAUAAAAAAUAUCGAUGAUUCUACUACACUGAUAUAUGAAAAUUAUGGAAGUACCAAAAAAAAAAAAAAACAUGAAAGAAAGAAUCUAAAACAGUUCAUCAUGUCCUAAUUCAAGACAAAAAAAGUUCAAAAAAGAACUAUUUAACCCUUAAGGAACAAUUUGAAAAAAAAAAAAAAAACAAAGAAAAUCGUUUUUGACCCAACGUAAUACAAAGUCGCUCGAGAGUUAACUCUCGAGCGUGCUACUUAAGAUGUUUAAACAUGAUUAAUACCAAACAGAGAAAAGAUAUUAGAUAAAAAUCGUCAAGAAAGAAGAGAAAUUAUGGCUAACGUUUUCUGUUACGUCCACAUUGAUCUGCAUUCAUCGAAUUUAACCGGGAUCCCAGCAGACAUCUUAAUUUUAUGAGAUUAAAGAAAAAGAUUUUCUAUCCUUGCGUUGUGGGUUGCAACUAAAUUUACAAUAAUAAAUUAUUUGAGAUUAAAAUCAAUGAAAGAUUUCACGAUAAAAUUGAUUAUUCUGAAGUAAACAAUGUUCUCAAGAUUCAAAAAAUUAUACAAAUUCAUUGGAAAGUCGUGCAAAAAUAUACAUUAAUCUUCUGUCAUCUCAAUUUUGUACGAGUAACUAAAUAAUAUACAGAAAGCCAAAGCAGUAUACAAAAAGUCUGUGUAUGUAUGUGUGUGAUGUUGUAUGCACAAAAAGAAAGUACAUGGAAUUGUAAAUCAAUUUUAAUGAUCUUAGAAGAAGAAAAGUAUUAAAUUUUGGUAAAAAAAAAAAAAAAUACUAUUUUUGAUGAAGUGAAUUGAACAUGAGAAAGAUAUUAUUAUUACAUACAGGAUAAAUGUUUAUCGUAAUAUGUUAAAAAAAAAUA